GCGCCCCGUAGCUCAGGGGAUAGAGCGUCUGCCUCCGGAGCAGAAAGGCCGCAGGUUCGAAUCCUGCCGGGGGCACAA
rnacentral:tRNA from 1 species